GGUCGUAUAGCUCAGUGGUAGAGCACUACCUUGACAUGGUAGGGGUCAUAGGUUCAAACCCUGUUACGACCACCA
rnacentral:tRNA from 1 species